rfam:Mycoplasma conjunctivae HRC/581T complete genome
GGGGGUGUACUGGCUUUGACAGGUACAACAAGAUAUAGCAAGGCAGUGGUGUGGUUACCUUAAAUACCAAUAUUUUCUUAAAUGCAAACAAAAAAGAAGACAAAGCUGUGGAUGUAAAUCUAUUAGCAAGUCAAUCAUUUAACUCAAAUCUAGCAUUCGCUUAAUAUUUUGAAGCUAGUGGAAGUUGUUUAAUCUUGUGUAACAAACUUUCUCAUAUAACAAGAUCGCUUUAAUAAUUCUAUUUUAUUAUAUAAGGUUAAAUUUUUUAAAAUAGUUAAUUAGAUUUACUUUUUGUAGUUUUAGUAGUUUAAUUAAAAACAAAAAACUAAUAAACUGUAGACUUAUAUAUGCUUUUGUAUGUGGACCGGGGUUCGACUCCCCGCAUCUCCACCA